CUGAAAAAUUUAAGAGGACUCCAAAAACCUUGAUGGUCAUGACAAAUAUUCUAAUGUAAUGUUUUAAAAAUUCAAAAGUAAUGCAAAAAUCUAUCACGAACAAAAUACCAAAAUUUUAAACAGAAACAGAAUCUGACAUUGCACUUUGCAUGACCCUGCCUUGCCUGUGUCACCCCGGUCUCAGCUCUGUUAGAACAGGAAGUGUAGAGCCAAACCAUACAGGUCCAUUAAAGUCUGUGCUCAGGUAUGGUACCUGUCACACACAUGUCACAUGUCACUCACAUUCCUUUGGCCAAAGCAAGCUGCAUGGUGAGCUCCAAAGAGAAGAGGAUAAAGAAAUAUAUUCUACCAACAAGAAGGAUGAUAUGAACUGAUGAGUGGAGGAAACAAAUGAGGCAGUCUCCCACUGGCUGAAUAAGUUUCUUGUUUUGUGUACACAAGGAUUUAAUGCUCCAGUGACUAUGAAAAUGAGCUCUGAUUCCAAUGGCAGGAGAUCUGGGAACCAAAUCGCUUACAGUGAAUUAAUUGCACGAACCAAUGGCACUGCAAGUCUCCAGCUUUUCUGAGAAAUUCAAAACAGGCUUUGCCUGUUACCAUGCACAGUAAUGGGAGAAGGUUGUCAACCUGCAUGAUGGCGACAGUCGGCCAACUUCUGUGUGACUCUUGAAGGCUGUUGCUACCCUGAGAUGGCUCAAGAAGUGGUGGGGCCCUUUGUACACCAGUCAUCUUGGGAAUAAAGAAGGUUUUGUGGUAAGCUUAUCUGAUUAGGGGUCACACUGGAAGAUCAACACUCUGCAGCCUGGAGGAGUGUAAAUCAAAGGAGGGAAGAGGCUGGAGGCAGUUCACACUCUGAAGAGUUGAUUCUUUGAGGGUGUCCUACAGCUUUGACCCAAUACUACCCCAGCCAAUCUCCGGCCUUGCUGAUGAGCCAUGGG
rnacentral:lncRNA from 1 species